GACGAACGCUGGCGGCGUGCCUAAUACAUGCAAGUAGAACGCAGUUGCGAACGGGUGCGUAACGCGUAGGUAACUGCCUGGUAGCGGGGGAUAACUAUUGGAAACGAUAGCUAAUACCGCAUACUACCAGAUGGACCUGCGUUGUAUUAGCUAGUUUGUGGGGUAAUGGCCUACAAAGACGACGAUCUCUAGCUGGUCUGAGAGGAUGACCGGCCACACCGGGACUGAGACACGGCCCGGACUCCUACGGGAGGCAGCAGUGGGGAAUAUUGGACAAUGGGCGAAAGCCUGAUCAAGCCAGGCCGCGUGUGUGAAGAAGGUCUUCGGAUUGUAAAGCACUUUAAGUUGGGAGGCGUUACCAACAGAAUAUGCACCGGCUAACUUCGUGACAGCAGCCGCGGUAAUAC
rnacentral:rRNA from 1 species